AGUGAACGCUGGCGGUAGGCCUAACACAUGCAAGUCGAACGGCAGCACAGUAAGAGCUUGCUCUUACGGGUGGCGAGUGGCGGACGGGUGAGGAAUACAUCGGAAUCUACUUUUUCGUGGGGGAUAACGUAGGGAAACUUACGCUAAUACCGCAUACGACCUACGGGUGAAAGCAGGGGAUCUUCGGACCUUGCGCGAUUGAAUGAGCCGAUGUCGGAUUAGCUAGUUGGCGGGGUAAAGGCCCACCAAGGCGACGAUCCGUAGCUGGUCUGAGAGGAUGAUCAGCCACACUGGAACUGAGACACGGUCCAGACUCCUACGGGAGGCAGCAGUGGGGAAUAUUGGACAAAGGGCGCAAGCCUGAUCCAACCAUACCGCGUGGGUGAAGAAGGCCUUCGGGUUGUAAGGCCCUUUUGUUGGGAAAGAAAAGCAGCAGGUUAAUACCCCGCUGUUCUGACGGUACCCAAAGAAUAAGCACCGGCUAACUUCGUG
rnacentral:rRNA from 1 species